CGUUGAGUAGGAAGAAGAAGAGGAAGAAGAAGGAGAAG
rnacentral:sRNA from 1 species